rnacentral:pre_miRNA from 1 species
UUAGCUCUAAUUUGUAUGGUGUUGGAACGUUUGCCUACGUUUGCCGCUAGGGGGCGCCGUCCCAACUGCAUACAAAUGUGAGUUA